GGGACCUGAUGCAGCGACGCCGCGUGAGUGAAGAAGUAUUUCGGUAUGUAAAGCUCUAUCAGCAGGGAAGAUGAUGACGGUACCUGACUAAGAAGCCCCGGCUAACUACGUGCCAGCAGCCGCGGUAAUACA
rnacentral:rRNA from 1 species